rnacentral:rRNA from 1 species
UGAAUACGAGAUGCUACGGCGUCGAAGCAGUCUAUGUCAUACUUCCAAGAAAAGCUUGCACUGUCAUAAACAAAUAAUGCCUGUACCAUAACCGACACAGGUGGGUAGGUAGAGUAUACUAAGGGGCGCGAGAUAACUCUCUCUAAGGAACUCGGCAAAAUGACUCCGUAACUUCGGGAGAAGGAGUGCCUUAUUUAUAAGGUUGCAAUAACAAGAUCCAAGCAACUGUUUAUCAAAAACACAGGUCUCCGCUAAGUCGUAAGACGAUGUAUGGGGGCUGACGCCUGCCCAGUGCCAGAAGGUUAAAGAAGUUGGUUAGUGUAUGCGAAGCUGAUGACUGAAGCCCUGGUGAACGGCGGCCGUAACUAUAACGGUCCUAAGGUAGCGAAAUUCCUUGUCGGGUAAGUUCCGACCCGCACGAAAGGCGUAAUGAUUUGGAUACUGUCUCGGAGAGAGGCUCGGUGAAAUAGACUUGUCUGUGAAGAUGCGGACUACCUGCACCAGGACAGAAAGACCCUAUGAAGCUUUACUGUAACUUGAAAUUGGAAUUGGACUUUGCUUGCGCAGUAUAGGUGGGAAGCGUUGAAAAUAUUCUUGCGGGAGUAUUGGAGCUAUCAGUGAGAUACCACUCUUGUAAUGUUAGAUUUCUAACUUUGAACCAUAAUCUGGUCAAAGAACAGUUUCAGGUGGGCAGUUUGACUGGGGCGGUCGCCUCCCAAAUGGUAACGGAGGCGUACAAAGGUUUCCUCUGAACGGAUAGAAAUCGUAUCUAGAGUGUAAAGGCAUAAGGAAGCUUGACUGUGAGACCUACAAGUCGAGCAGGGACGAAAGUCGGUCUUAGUGAUCUGACGGUACUGAGUGGAAAGGCCGUCACUCAACGGAUAAAAGUUACUCUAGGAUAACAGGCUGAUCUCCCCCAAGAGUUCACAUCGACGGGGAGGUUUGGCACCUCGAUGUCGGCUCAUCGCAUCCUGGGGCGGUAGUACGUCCCAAGGGUUGGGCUGUUCGCCCAUGAAAGCGGUACGCGAGCUGGGUUCAGAACGUCGUGAGACAGUUCGGUCCAUAUCCGGUGUAGGCGCUAGAAUAUUGAGAGGAGCCUUCUUUAGUACGAGAGGACCGAGAAGGACACACCGCUGGUGUACCAGUUAUCGUGCCAACGGUAAACGCUGGGUAGCUAUGUGUGGAGUGGAUAACCGCUGAAAGCAUCUAAGUGGGAAGCCCACCUCGAGAUGAGUAUUCGC